CUUUUUCUUUUUCUUUUUUUUCUCCAUUGCACUUUUAUUUGAAUGUAAUAUUUGGGACAAUUAUUCAAAAGGGCCAAUAUUUCCCAAUUUAAUCUGAGGUCAUAAUAAAACAAGCAACAAAACAGUUUUUGGGAUUUCAGUUUCUCACCCUUAUCAUCAAGACUCACUGCCUCCCAUCAUUAAUAUUUACUGAGCAUUUAUAGUGUACUAGGCACAACAGAACAUACAGAAAACAUUAUC
rnacentral:lncRNA from 1 species